ACCUGUUCUGGUCUGACUUUGGAUGUGCUCUAGACACUAUGUGUAGUGAACAUUUUAGAAAUAGGCCACACACACUGGCUUUGACAAUAUCUGCAAUAUCAAUUAUCCAAAAGCACGAUGACUAAUUCAAAGAUCCUUUAAUCAGGCUUUCUUCCUUUUUGGAGAUUUCUUGCUGCCUGACCACAUGUUUAACCAGCCGAUGAAAACCGAAGCAGAGGAGUGAAGUAGAGAUAGGUUUCCAGAGACAACACCAGAUAAAGGAAGUAGGGCAAUAUUUAGCUGCUUGAAGUCUUGGUUUUUUGAAACUAGAAUGUCAGCAAACUGAGAAAUACGAGCAAUGGGGAUAAAAGCCACAGCUUGGAGUGGCAAUGGUAUGACAUGGAGCAAUACCGACGAGAGAUAUUACCAGAGAAGUUAUUCCUAUGGAG